UUAUUUGGAAAUAAGGACUUUAUACAGAUAUUCAAGUUAAAAAGAGAUUAUUAGGGUGAGUCUUAGUCUAAUAUGACUGGUGUUUUUAUAAAAAAGGGAAAUUUGGACACAGAGGCAGAUGCACACAGAGGGAAGACCAUGUGAGGACACAUGGGGAGAAGAUGGCCAGGGGACUGCUAUGAUGCAUCUGCGGGUCAAGAAACACCAAGAAUGACUCCUUAGAAUUUUGGAUUUCUUUGACUUCAGAACUCCAGCCUCCAGAAUUGUGAUAGAGCAUAUUUUAAGGCACUAAAUUCCUGCUACUUUUUUAAGGCUGCCCUAGGAAACCAGUACAGCUUCCUUGGAGAGUGAUCAAAGAGCAGAACUAAUUUCUAUUCCUAAUACCUUGCUGCAAGACUUGGAGAAAAACACUGGCAUCUGUGCAGCCAUUUUUUUUAUGAACCUUGUGGAAUCUUGACUUUACAACCAGCACAGUCAGACACUUGCAGAGGAUUCUACGAAGGCUGAAUGGAGAUUUGAGGACAUUCAUCUAUCCCCACCUCCUCCACAUAACCAUUUGUGUUCCUUCAGUCCUUCAGUAAGUUUUCAGUGCUGGCUUCUUAACAUUGUCACACAACUAUCUCAUGACACAAAAACUAUGAACAGCAGACCAAGGCUAAUAACACCUCCUCCAUCUCUUUGGGAUUAGAAUAUCAGGGUUUUUGCAUUGAAAUGAUUGGGCUUGCAACUUUCCAUUGACAAACUCUAAUUCGGUGAUUGUUGUUAAAGAGUAAGCUUAUGUUUUAAAAAUGAUUUUGAUGACCAUAGCUGCAAUAAGGGGUACAGUGCUUUUUAAAACCAUGAAACCAUGACUGUAGGUGGCACUUGAAAAAUACACUCUUUCAACAUAAAAAAAGUUUAUAAAAGUUAUUAGGCAGCAUCUUUGAGAGUUGUGUAACUUUACCUAGAAGACUGUCAUAAUUAUUUGAAGACCUAGGUAUUCAUAACUUGGAUUAGAAACACCAGCCCUUCUGCAAUUGACUAGUUGUGCAUCUGACGCACUUCACUUACCCUCUCUGGGCUGCUGUUUCACAGAGCAGGAAACCCAAACAAUGAUAUUUCUUUCUUUAAAGGGUGAUGAGGAAACAGAAAUUUGUGUCAGGGAUGCUUUUGAAAUUCAACAAGUUGGAAAUAAAAACACUUUUUAUGCUUUCCAAAGCAUCUUCAGGAGUCUUGUUUUCAAUUGAUAAAGAGGAAAUACAUUCUUCCUGUACUUGAGACUUUUAUGAAGACCUGUUGUAUAUCCAGUCACUGAUGUAACAAACUCAUGGUGGAAAACGUUGGUUGCCAAUGAAGCUAGAAGCUGCAAGAAUGGCCUGAGAUCUAGAACCUCUGUCCUGAGAUUCAGCCAAAUAUUGGGCACAGCAAGUUAUAGAGCCAGGAAGUUCAACCCCACAUUGCUAAAAGACCAGGUAGUGUCACAGGGUAGAAUCAGAGUGUCAGUGUUAAUGUACUAGUUCAUGAACAGGAAUACAAAAGCAAAUCUGAUAAUACAAGCAGAGAGAUUGCUAUUGAAGGUCUUCUUGUAUAUGUUACACAAUCACAGGAGAUGGUUUUAUUAGAAGGUUCUUGAAGGGUAAUUGCUUACCUGUCUGAUCAAAAGAGAGCAUCAAAAUCUUGAUUUCCAUCUUGAGGUAGAUUUCAUCCUGUCCAGUUAUAUCUCUACUUUUAUUACAGAUAAUAAUAUUUAGAUAGGUAUGUUAACUUGAAGCAUUGUACAGAAAAAGCUUUGAUGAGGGUGACUGAACUAAUCUCUAUGUUGAGAACUGUAUACUGUUUAUCCCACAUACCCAGAACAAAUCACAUAAGGGGUUAUCAACUGUUCUGAUAUCAAACUCUGCUUUCUCUUCACUAGCAAAUUGGUGACAAUGUUUAACUAGUAUAAGCAACAAUAUUAUCUCCCUUUUGUUCUGGUCUGUUCUACAGUCCUUUGUGGGCAUUUCAAGCCACUCUUGCUUUCUGCUUUCUGCUAUGGGGCACCGCUUCUUAUUUCAGUUCUUUUAGAAUUAGUCCCUGAAGAUCCUAGGCUUGAAGGGUUGACUCCUGGGUCUGUUGGAUGCUGCAGCUCUUUGCCUCUUUAACCAGAGUGCACUGAGGUCAUGUUCUCUGGGAACAGCUGGAAUCUUUCAAUAGAAACACAAUUUUCUCUGAGCUUAGAGACAUUAAAAUAGGGCAAUGCAAAAUCGUUUUCUAUAGUAGAAUUAUUUACCUCUGGAUGCUGGCCAGUUGACAGUACCACACCAUUCUCUAUGCAGCACUACUGAAUUCUCUCCCUAUACUCAGAUACAUGAGUGUUAUAGCUCAAUUAUGUGUUACAUUAUAGCUCCAGUACACAAUUCCCUUCCUAAUGAAUCCCCUCUCUUUUCUUUUUUCCUCACCUUUCUCUCUUUCUAUUAUUUCCUUUAACCCUCACUAAGCAGUUAGUAUACUCUCAACACUGUACUAAGUACUGUACACACAAAGAUAAAAUAACCAUAUCUUUUAGAUCCCAUCCUAGGCUCACAAUUUAGUGAAGGAGAUAGUUAGGUAGACAGAAAAACUAAGUAAGAGUGUGGUAAGUGCAAAAUGAGCAGUCUGUAAAAACUACCAUGAAGACAAUUAAUACUGUGUGGGCAAUCAAGACCUUUCACAGAGAAGGUGUUAUAUAUGAACUGAAUCUUUAUGGGAGAGACAGAAGAUGUUAGGUAGACUAAGAACAAAAUUAUAAGGGUAUAUGAGUAUGUGAUAGGCUAGCCAUUGGUCUUUCAGGUCCGAGAGCUACCAUUAAUCAUGGUUAUCGCACAUGAUAGUAUAUUGUGUGUAGUAGUCAUACCUAUGCCCUGUCAAAAGCCACCUGAAUACCUUCUUUGAGUUUUCUUACCUUCAGGGUACUCAUCCCCAAUUUUUACAUCACUUUCUCAUAUAAUGAUUUGAUUCCCUCCCUCAUUCCUCAAAUCCCACGAGUGCACAUAUGUUCUCAUCCUGGCCUCUGUGGAAAUGUUCAAGUUUGCCACCAGCCUUUGUCUUCGAAUGUGUGGGAAGCCAAGAGAAGACUAUUUCCAUUCACUAGAACUUCUUCUAAAGUCUUCUGAUAGAUGUUGACGGAUCCUAUGCCAUCAGCAGAUGAAAAAUUUGGAGUCUAGUGAAAAGAAGUGACUUGCUCAAAAUCACACAGCACAUGAAGAACAGAGCCUCUAUGAUGAAUUUCUUGACAGCUGAUAUAAGUCUUUUGAGGUACAGCCUGGCACAAAAAGGAUGAGAUUUGUGGGCAGAAUUUUGGAAGAAUAUCUCCCGAGAGAACAUUCAGGACAGAUUGCACUGCUUUGGAGAGCUGGUGAUGAAAUCCGGCCAUUGAAUUACACUGCACUAUAAACUUCAUUUGUUCUUGGGUGCAUAGUGAUUUGCUAUAAUAAUGAUCAUCCAUUUGCCAGACAGCUGAGAUUUUUUAAAAGCUUGAUUGCUUUUGGCAUGGCAUUAUUAGUCCUGGAAGAAGGCAGCACAUUUGUAGCAAUUCUCAGCUUGAGCAAACUAGAAUAUUCACCUCCCACAAAUGCUGGCCAUUUAAGAUCUGUGUGUUAGACUUUGGCAUUUUUUCUAGCAAUUCUACAACAGCAUACACACUUUUAUUUUUCAUUAACACCAUUGUGAAUAUGCCCAUCUCUAAAAUUUCAAGGGGGUUCACUUAAGCUACUGAGUUUUAUGGACAGAAGGGCCAAGAAAAGUCCCCAAAGAAGAGUGCAUGCUGUCAAUUGCCAAUUAUUUUUUUUUCUAAUGAAAGCCAAACAAUUCCAGACAAACCCUUUUCUAAGAAAUGAACUACAUAUCUGGAUCCAAAUAAAUACUCAUCUGAUAAGAAUCUAAAAGCUCUACUGAAUUACAGUGGAUGAGAACAUGAUGAUGGUGAUUCUUUGAAGAUUACUGAGGAAAUCAACUCUCAUGUCUGAUUCUGAUACUUUUAUAGUCCAUCCAUGUUGAAAAUGUCUAUGGAAUGAUUCUGUUGUACCUUGAGAAAUGAAAUUCAUAGGCAUGGAUUCUCUCACACAGCAACUUUAUACACAAAGAUGAGAAUAGAAGAAAGGUCAUUUCCAAAGAAAGUGACAUUUAUUCUGUAUUCACUGAAAAGCCAAAAGAAUUUUCUCAUUCACCCAUACCGACAGAGCCCUACAUCUCCCCGAGAAGAGGUGAAAGAGACUGCUCCUAUCUGCUUCUGCAUCAAACUUCAGGCUCAAGACCUGUCCAGAAAAAAAAAUGUCUUCUUUCAGGGAUGAACUGCUGUCCUCAUCAGACGCCUUAUUUUGUUUAGAAUUCAAGCUCACUUGACAGGUUAUUGUGAAGAUUAAAUGAAUUAAUACAUGUGAAGCAACUGUAACAACUCUUGACAUGCGUGGGCUGGACUUCCAGAAGAAACGUUGUCAGAACUCUGCCCAACUGAAAACAAGCCUACUAAAAAUAAAUAAAUAAAUAAAAUUUUAAAAAAUUGAUUAAUUAAAAGUAUUUUCUUGAGCACCUCCCAUGUAUUAACAAUCUCUGCAUUCACCAUUACCACCUAGUACUCUAACAAUUUUUGCAACAUAAAGGAAGUGACUGGGCUCAAAGUCUUUCCUUAUGUGACCUAGAUCAGUGCUUCUCUAAGUGUUGUAUACCUAAGAAGCACAAGAAGAGCCUGGUGAAACAAUUUCCUGGGACUCAUCUCCAGAGACUGAUUCAGUAGGUUUGAGGUAGAG
rnacentral:lncRNA from 1 species